CCUACGGGAGACAGCAGUCGAGAAUCAUUCACAAUGGGGGAAACCCUGAUGGUGCGACGCCGCGUGGGGGAAUGAAGGUCUUCGGAUUGUAAACCCCUGUCAUGUGGGAGCAAAUUAAAAAGAUAGUACCACAAGAGGAAGAGACGGCUAACUCUGGGCCAGCAGCCGCGGUAAUACAGAGGUCUCAAGCGUUGUUCGGAAUCACUGGGCGUAAGGCGUGCGUAGGCUGUUUCGUAAGUCGUGUGUGAAAGGCGCGGGCUCAACCCGCGGACGGCACAUGAUACUGCGAGACUAGAGUAAUGGAGGGGGAACCGGAAUUCUCGGUGUAGCAGUGAAAUGCGUAGAUAUCGAGAGGAACACUCGUGGCGAAGGCGGGUUCCUGGACAUUAACUGACGCUGAGGCACGAAGGCCAGGGGAGCGAAAGGGAUUAGAUACCCUUGUAGUC
rnacentral:rRNA from 1 species